rnacentral:rRNA from 1 species
AAGCGUAUACGGCCAGACUUGGUCGCGGAGGUUCAGCUCGUCUUCUGGCGGGUGUACUCCUUCGCGGACAGGCCAGCAUCGGUUUGGGCGGUCGGACAAAGGCGGUGGGAAUGUAGCUCCCCUCGGGGAGUGUUAUAGCCCGGCGUGUCAUGCGGCCAGCCCGGACCGAGGUUCGCGUUCGCUCGGAUGCUGGCGUAAUGGCCUUAUACGG